GACGAACGCUGGCGGCGUGCUUAACACAUGCAAGUCGAACGGAAAGGCCUGCUUUCCCUUGUGGAUUGCGGGUACUCGAGUGGCGAACGGGUGAGUAACACGGGAGUGAUCUGCCACCAACUUGGGUAUAAGCCUGGGAAACUGGGUCUAAUUACGUAUAGGACUGCAGGGUGGUGGCUGUGGUGGAAAACGAUUUUCUAGUGGUUGGGGAUGAGCUCGCGGACUAUCAGCUUGUUGGUGGGGUAAUGGCCUACCAAGGCGGCGACGGGUAGCCGGCCUGAGAGGGUGGACGGCCACAUUGAGAAUGAGAUACGGCCCAGACACCUACGGGAGGCAGCAGUGGGGAAUAUUGCACAAUGGGCGGAAGCCUGAUGCAGCGACGCCGGGUGGAGGAUGACGGCCUUCGGGUUGUAAGCUCCUUUCGACCGCGAGGAAGCCACCUGGUUGGAAGGGUGGUGACGGUAGUGGUAGAAGAAGCACCGGCUAACUACGUG
rnacentral:rRNA from 1 species